GUCUACAAGCUACAACAAUCACAUUCAAACCAUCAUAACUCAAAUCAUGAAACUAUUGAGCAAGUUACAGUAACUGAUGUGUGCAUGUACCCAAGUCAUUUAAGAGAUUGUUUUUUUGGAAAAACUUCUCCUGAAAAAAAUGUUUCCACUAACGCUUCCACGUGGUGGAUAUGUCCAUAGAGUAUAACCGUAUAAUCGGAUCAAUAGAGUAUGGUAUAUUAUAGUAAACUGUAAAGUAAUAAUCUCAAAGUGGUAGACUGUAGCUAGUAUCAUCAGUGUCCUUAGCCAUUUAACAUAUUUCCGCCCAUGUACAUUUUUUUACCCUCAACAACAUAUAAUAAAAAUUUAUAUAUCAA